ACCGGAUUAGAUACCCUGGUAGUCCACGCCGUAAACGAUGUCGACUUGGAGGCUGUUCCCCUGAGGAGUGGCUUCCGGAGCUAACGCGUUAAGUCGACCGCCUGGGGAGUACGGCCGCAAGGUUAAAACUCAAAUGAAUUGACGGGGGCCCGCACAAGCGGUGGAGCAUGUGGUUUAAUUCGAUGCAACGCGAAGAACCUUACCUACUCUUGACAUCCAGAGAACUUUCCAGAGAUGGAUUGGUGCCUUCGGGAACUCUGAGACAGGUGCUGCAUGGCUGUCGUCAGCUCGUGUUGUGAAAUGUUGGGUUAAGUCCCGCAACGAGCGCAACCCUUAUCCUUUGUUGCCAGCGAUUCGGUCGGGAACUCAAAGGAGACUGCCGGUGAUAAACCGGAGGAAGGUGGGGAUGACGUCAAGUCAUCAUGGCCCUUACGAGUAGGGCUACACACGUGCUACAAUGGCGCAUACAAAGAGAAGCGACCUCGCGAGAGCAAGCGGACCUCAUAAAGUGCGUCGUAGUCCGGAUCGGAGUCUGCAACUCGACUCCGUGAAGUCGGAAUCGCUAGUAAUCGUGGAUCAGAAUGCCACGGUGAAUACGUUCCCGGGCCUUGUACACACCGCCCGUCACACCAUGGGAGUGGGUUGCAAAAGAAGUAGGUAGCUUAACCUUCGGGAGGGCGCUUACCACUUUGUGAUUCAUGACUGGGGUGAAGUCGUAACAAGGUAGC
rnacentral:rRNA from 1 species